GCAGUCUCACUCUGCACCCAGCGGCAGCCCCAGGCGGUGCUUUUUCCGUCUGUCAGAGAAAUAUUCCCAGUUCUGUGGCUGCCUCACCUGUCAAGGGCGAUGCCGCUGCCUGGGGACUUGGGG
rnacentral:snoRNA from 1 species